rnacentral:ncRNA from 1 species
GCAGAGAUAAAAACACGGUCCGGUUGGUAGUCCGGACGCGGCGGAGAAAGCGCCGUCAGUAACCUGCCUCCUUGGUUGUCCGUUCUCUGU